UCUAAGUCUGUAGGGCUCCAGAAGAUGUCACUUCUUAAUGUCACUUCAAUAUAGUUACGUUGAAGGAAAUCUGUUAAUGUUCACUCACCCGAGUAAACCCAGAACCCACUUUAGUAGCUACAUAGGUCCUAAUAUAUUCCUUUACUAAGCUCCUGUUUUUACAGUUUGAUUCCAUAAAAUGUUUCAAGAUGUUGUCAUGCACCUGCAACUUCAACAAAAUCUUAAGUGAGAAAGACUGCAUCAUUCAUAUCCACGGCACAAAGUCAGCUCUGCACAUUCAUCCAGGAGCCCGCUAAAACUUGAAAAAAUGUGACAUCAAUUGCUGAUCAUACAUGAAUGAAGAUUAUGGAAGAGAAAACCUCAACUUGCUUAUAUUUGAGUUGACUUCUCUCCUUUUCUGAAGGCAUUGAAUCAUACUGGAGUUUAAAUCCAAAGAUACUGGCAACUUUUUACUUUUCAGUCUGCGAACAGAUCAUGGAAGGAAAUUCCUGAUAGGAAACUCAUUACUGCCUGUCUGGAAAGGCUUCACAGGAAAAUGAUAUAGCAUGUGACAACAGAUAUACAUACAAAAAAAAACCACCAGAGAAAUGAGGUUUCAACUGAAAUGCUCAUCCAUUUCAAUUUAUUCAUGCCUUUGAGGCAGUAGAUAGCAAACUGGAAUUAACUUUUAUUGCAAUGAUUAACAUUUAUUUAAAAAUAUUGGAAAUGGGAUAUCAACACUUUAUUAAAAUCUUAUUUCCAUGAUUCUCCACAUAUGGGAAUGGGCAAGGGCAUAGAAAUUUAUGCGAUCACUAGAAUUAGUGAGGAGUUAGCCAGCCUGUAUCUAAUUAACACCUAAUUAAUCGUACAUGUCAGCAAAUUUAUGUGACUAUACUGUAGCUUUGUGUUAUUUUAUUGCCAGUAUUUAUCAUUAAGAAGUACCCAACAUGAGCAAGACGAAUGUAGUGUACAAAAUACCAUGCAAGGACUGCACUAAACACUAUAUAAGACAACC